rnacentral:rRNA from 1 species
UGCGUAGGUGGCGCGCUAAGUCGGGUGUGAAAUUUCGGAGCUUAACUCCGAAACUGCAUUUGAUACUGGCGUGCUUGAGGACUGGAGAGGAGACUGGGAUUCACGGUGUAGCAGUGAAAUGCGUAGAGAUCGUGAGGAAGACCAGUGGCGAAGGCGGGUCUCUGGACAGUUCCUGACACUGAGGCACGAAGGCCAGGGGAGCAAACG